rnacentral:rRNA from 1 species
UUCGNUCAGGCCUAACACAUGCAAGUCGAGCGCGUCCCUUCGGGGGCGAGCGGCGCACGGUGAGUAACGCGUGGGAACCUACCCUGGGGUAGGGGAUAACCGCUGGAAACGGCGGCUAAUACCCUAUACGUCCUGAGGGAGAAAGAUUUAUCGCCCUGGGAUGGGCCCGCGUCGGAUUAGCUAGUUGGUGGGGUAACGGCUCACCAAGGCGACGAUCCGUAGCUGGUCUGAGAGGAUGAUCACCCACACUGGGAUUGAGACACGGCCCAGACUCCUACGGGAGGCAGCAGUGGGGAAUAUUGGACAAUGGGCGCAAGCCUGAUCCAGCCAUGCCGCGUGAGUGAAGAAGNCCUUAGGGUUGUAAAGCUUCNCCCGCGAAGAUGAGACNGUAGC